rnacentral:rRNA from 1 species
UACGAAGGCCCCAAGCGUUAUCCGGAUUUAUUGGGCGUAAAGCGUUAAUAGGUGGCUUGAUAAGUCACUGGUCAAAUCCACGGGCUCAACCCGCGGACUGCUAGUGAAACUGUCUGGCUUGAGGUCGGAAGAGGCAAGCGGAACUACCGGUGUAGCGGUAAAAUGCGUUCAUAUCGGUAGGAACACCAAAGGCGAAGGCAGCUUGCUGGUACGAUCCUGACACUAAAUAACGAAAGCGUGGGGAGCGAAUGGG